rnacentral:tRNA from 1 species
CCUGGUGGCUGAGAGGGUAAAGCGUCUGCCUGCAGGGCAGGAGAUCUGGGUUUGAUCCCUGGGUCAGGA